rnacentral:rRNA from 1 species
UGCGUAGGCGGAUAGAUAAGUCAGAGGUGAAAGCCCACAGCUCAACUGUGGAAUUGCCUUUGAUACUGUUUAUCUUGAAUAAGGUUGAGGUUAGCGGAAUGUGGCAUGUAGCGGUGAAAUGCAUAGAUAUGCCAUAGAACACCAAUUGCGUAGGCAGCUAGCUAGGCCUUUAUUGACGCUGAGGCACGAAAGCAUGGGGAGCGAACA